rnacentral:rRNA from 1 species
UACGUAGGCAGCGAGCGUUGUUCGGAGUUACUGGGCGUAAAGGGUGUGUAGGCGGUUGUUUAAGUUUGGUGUGAAAUCUCCCGGCUCAACUGGGAGGGUGCGCCGAAUACUGAAUGACUUCGAGUGCGGGAGAGGAGAGUGGAAUUCCUGGUGUAGCGGUGAAAUGCGUAGAUAUCAGGAGGAACACCGGUGGUGUAGACGGGUCUCUGGGCCGUAACUGACGCUGGAGGAGCGAAAGCGUGGGGAGCGAA